rnacentral:rRNA from 1 species
UACGGGGGGGGCGAGCGUUGUUCGGAAUUACUGGGCGUAAAGGGUUUGUAGGUGGUCUGCUAAGUCAGACGUGAAAUCCCUCAGCUUAACUGGGGAACUGCGUCUGAUACUGGCGGACUUGAGGACAGGAGAGGAACGCGGAAUUCCAGGUGUAGCGGUGAAAUGCGUAGAUAUCUGGAGGAACACCGGUGGCGAAGGCGGCGUUCUGGACUGUCUCUGACACUGAAAAACGAAAGCCAGGGGAGCAAACGGG